rnacentral:sRNA from 1 species
GCUGGGCAUGGUGGUGCAUGCUUGUAAUCCCAGCAACUCUGGAGGCUGAGGCAGGAACAUUACAAGUUCAAGGCCAGCCUCAGCAACUAAGUGAGGCCUUAAGCAACUUGGUGAGGCCCUGUCUUAA